ensembl:lncRNA
ACUACUGUUAGAAACUGCAUGCAAUUGCUCUCCUUUCCACAGGAGGCACAAAGUGGUGAGCUACCUCCCACACUAUAACUAGAGGCCCUGUUGAGGCCAAGUUCCUGUUUGUUUCCUGACAUGAGUGUUUCCAUGUGUCUGUUGGACUGAUGCCAAUACCAUGGAAAUAUUACGUGAACAACUAAAAUAAAUGGCAUGGCUGAAUAAAGAUCGAAGUGCAUGAAACCCCGUUUCAAGUCGGUUUGUGGCUCCAGUCGACCCCUAGAUCCAGUACAAAUGGUCGUUCGAGCCGGAGGCUGAGCCACACUCCGCACACCCACCAAAAAUGGCUGAUUCAGAGACCGAAGGCAGUACAUCAAUGGACAAGGCCACUAUUGAAAAGACUUCUUGUAUUAAAAAUAUGGAUGAUGGAGACCAGGGUGUAACAGACUUAACCCACAACUUGUUUCCAGUUUUAUUAGACAAAAUCUCCCUGAAGAUGAAGAUCAAGGUGAAGUGUCUGCUCCUACUCUCCCAUCUCACCAUGGAAAUGCAUCAACUUCUUUUUAUAAUCUACCUUCCUCCAGGAUAUUCACAAAGCGAGGACACAACGUGAUAGAGACUGACGCUGUAAGUCCACGUCUGCUGUUAUAAACAGCGGUUUAAAAGAGCGGGACGGCAGUGAUGUUUGAUCACCCAUAAAACGACUUAUCACGUCUCUUAUCACUGAUAAGUCCAUAUUAAACACCAAAACAAGAUGCGCCGUCUUCACUUUAUUACAGAGACUUAUUGUUGCUCAUAUCGCGAGGUUUAAAUCCGACACUUGACCAUUCUUGGUUUCUAUUUGAUGCACAAUCGGUGCGACAGGAUCAUUGCUAGCAGGGUUGAGUAAUUGAGUGCUUUUAUUUAAUGACGCUUCAUACUUCUCUGCCCCACUACAUCUUUAUAUUGCACUUAUUACUUUACUACAUUUCAGAGGUAAAUGUUUUCAUUUUUACCGUACCACAUAUCUCAACAAAAAAUAAACAUCUUUUCGAUUUCUGUAAUUAUCCAGUUCAUCAGAUUUUCCAAUUAAGAACAUCUUUGUGUGUAUCCAGAUUACUUUUCUAUGCUUUAAAGCAGCAUACAGCUGAUGUAAACCUCACUAUUUACAGUUCCCAUUUAUGUUCCAGCUUUGGUGAGAAAAGGAGACACACUAAGAAGCAGAUAGUCACAGUUUGAGGCUUCACAAAGCUGAUAAUGAUCCUAAAC